rnacentral:lncRNA from 1 species
CCAGGGACAGACACACAGAUCCCGCUGUGACCGAUAUCGAAAACCAUCUACCCACAUCCUGCAUGAGCCAUAAAACUCUAAAUCAUAGCAAAUUAAAUUACAUCCUGGCCUGGAAAGUGCAGGAAGAAAAACCAGGGAGCAAACAAAGUAAUGAAACCAAUUAUUUCUCAAGACAAACCAAAGGCUUUCUCCACCACGGCUUGCCGGCCUCACGCUGCUGCUGGUGUUUCCUGCCAGCUGCAGUCGCUGUACCACUCCUGUGUGCUCCUGGAAGGUAGCUCAGGCCCUCCCUCACCAAGGUACUUCCAGGAGCUUGAAAAGAACACCUGGGUUCCAUCACUGGGAAAUUGUUGCUCUAAUGAAAACCUUGUUUUAAACGUCAAGUGUACCACCUGUGUGUUCACACUGACAGAUCACAAGAAGUGGAAGAAUACUUUCUGAAAAGGAAUACAAAGUGAACGCCAUGAAGCAGGAUCACCAAAAGCACGUCCGGGAGUGCUUAGCCCAGGCCAUCUUCCACAAGGCCCUCGACAUGGAGGUGCGGCCUUUUCUUACCCCCUUUAUGAUGGACCGUUCACUCUUCAACACAGACUAAUGAUGGAGAAUUCUUCCUAAGCUUCACGAAAAAGGAAAUGGGCCAAAAUGAAAGGGGAGAUACUGUCUGACUUCCUAAGUAGCCAGGAGCCCAGAGACCCAAGUUUUCCUCCUUUUUAGUUCAGAAGAAAUGUGGACAUGAUUAUAAAGUUUGUGAUAUUUAAUUUUCUAAAUGUAGAUCUUUUAAUCCACAAUGGCUACACAUCCCUAACCAUCUGCACCUUAAUUUCCAUUCCCUAAAAAAAAAAAAAAAGUGACAUCUGUUUAAAUAUCAGUAAUUCCACUGCCAUGAAUUAUCUCGGAUCUGUUAUUCUUUUAAGGGCCCGUAGCUCAGCCGUAUGUUAAGUUUCACAGAAUAGGCAUGGAAACAUCUGCUGUCCCUCCUACUUUAGGACACAUUGGUCAGUCCGAUUUACAGCCUGAGCGUCCACACGUUCUACAGAACCUGACAUUGCACUUUGAGUGGGAAGUGCAGCCAACCUGAGAAAUCAUUGCAGCCUUGCUCCACAAAAUUGUGGUUUCAGUUGUCAAGCACCAUUUCAGUCUCUGAAAAAGGGUGCCACUCUUGGUUCCACCAAACCGCAGUAAAUCAGAGAGGUUGGCUUGAAAAGCUCCUGAGCUGUCGGUGCAGUGACAUUUAUGAACAAAUGCGGGACAAUCAGUAAACCAGCAACAAGCUUAGAACCAGUGAAAAUAGUUACUGUUAUAGUGUCAUUAUGUCAAUAUUCACUUAAGAUCUGUUUUGCACACAUACAGUUUCUGCUGACUUAGGAAUCCACUUUUUUUUUUUUUAACUUUAGCUCAUGUCCAC